CUGGGGGUGGAGAAGCUCCCAAGGGUUUGGCUGUUCGCCAAUGAAAGUGGUACGUGAGCUGGGUUCAGACCGUCGUGAGACAGGUCGGUCCCUAUCUGCCGUGGGCGUUCGAAACUUGAGGAGAUUCAUCUUUAGUACGAGAGGAUUUGGAUGGACGGACCUCUGGUGUUCCAGUUGUCGCGCUAGCGGCACGGCUGGAUAGCUAAGUUCGGAAAGGAUAAACGCUGAAAGCAUCUAAGCGUGAAGCCCGCUCCGAGAUAAGGUUUCGUUGGGCUAUGCCCGAAAGUCCCCUGGAAGACGACCAGGUUGAUAGGCUGGGUGUGUAAGCACAGUAAUGUGUUCAGCUAACCAGUACUAAUGGACGAAUGCUUGACCAUAUAU
rnacentral:rRNA from 1 species